UACGUAGGGUGCGAGCGUUAAUCGGAAUUACUGGGCGUAAAGGGUGCGUAGGCGGUUCGUUAAGUCUGUCGUGAAAUCCCCGGGCUCAACCUGGGAAUGGCGAUGGAUACUGGCGAGCUAGAGUGUGUCAGAGGAUGGUGGAAUUCCCGGUGUAGCGGUGAAAUGCGUAGAGAUCGGGAGGAACAUCAGUAGCGAAGGCGGCCAUCUGGGACAACACUGACGCUGAAGCACGAAAGCGUGGGGAGCAAACAGG
rnacentral:rRNA from 1 species